rnacentral:rRNA from 1 species
GACGAACGCUGGCGGCGUGCCUAACACAUGCAAGUCGAACGGAACUGUUUUGAAAGAUUUCUUCGGAAUGAAUUUGAUUUAGUUUAGUGGCGGACGGGUGAGUAACGCGUGAGUAACCUGCCUUCAAGAGGGGGAUAACAUUCUGAAAAGAAUGCUAAUACCGCAUGACAUAUCGGAACCACAUGGUUUUGAUAUCAAAGAUUUUAUCGCUUGAAGAUGGACUCGCGUCCGAUUAGUUAGUUGGUGAAGUAACGGCUCACCAAGACCGCGAUCGGUAGCCGGACUGAGAGGUUGAACGGCCACAUUGGGACUGAGACACGGCCCAGACUCCUACGGGAGGCAGCAGUGGGGGAUAUUGCGCAAUGGGGGCAACCCUGACGCAGCAACGCCGCGUGAAGGAUGAAGGUUUUCGGAUUGUAAACUUCUUUUAUUAAGGACGAAAAAUGACG